rnacentral:rRNA from 1 species
GACGAACGCUGGCGGCGUGCUUAACACAUGCAAGUGGAGCGACGAACCGGGCUUCGGCCCGGGGCAAAGCCGCGAACGGGUGAGUAACACGUGGGUAACCUGCCCCGAUGAGUGGGACAACCUCGGGAAACCGAGGCUAAUACCAAAUGUGCUCACACUCCUCGAGGGGUGUGAGGAAAGGAAGCUUCGGCCUCCGCAUCGGGAUGGGCCCGCGGCGCAUUAGCUUGUUGGUGGGGUAAAGGCCUACCAAGGCUUCGAUGCGUAGCUGGUCUGAGAGGAGGAACAGCCACACGGGGACUGAGACACGGCCCAGACUCCUACGGGAGGCAGCAGUGGGGAAUCUUGCGAAAUGCGCGAAAGCGGGACGCAGCAACGCCGCGUGCGGGAAGACGGCCUUCGGGUUGUAAACCGCUUUCAGUUGGGACGAAGCUUCGUCGGUGAAUAGCCGGCGGGAGUGACGGUACCUUCAGAAGAAGCCCCGGCUAACUACGUGCCAGCAGCCGCCGUAAAAC